UGAGGGUGGCAUUGUGUAUAUGCAGUGAUAGUGACAUUGUGUAUUGGCAAUGAUAGUGACAUUGUGUACUGGCAAUGAUAGUGACAUUGUGUACUGGCAAUGAUAUUGACAUUGUGUAUUGGCAAUGAUAUUAACAUUGUGUAUUGGCAAUAAUAUUGACUUUGUGUACUGGCUAUGAUGUUGAUAUGUGUAUUUGUAAUGAUAGUGACAUUGUGUACUGGCAAUGAUAGUGACAUUGUGUAUUGGCAAUGAUAGUGAUAUUGUAUAUACUCAAUGAGGGUGGCAUUGCAUAUAUGCAGUGGUAAUGACUUUGUGUAUUGGCAAUGAUAGUGACAUUGUGUAUUUGCAAUGAUAGAGAGAUAUUGUGUAUUGGCAAUGAUAGUGAUAAUGUAUAGUUUUAAUGAUAGUGAUACUGUGUAUACUCAAUGAGAGUGACAUUGUGUAAUUAUGUACAGUUCUCCAGAGAUAUACAUUCAUCAAUGACCUCAACCUUCUACAUUUGGAUUGUCCUUGUACAGACCAUGCCAGCUUGGAGAUUUGGUUCAACACAUCAAUCCUAAUUUUUAAUGACAAGUAUUUCUGGUACUGUCAUUGGAAUGACUCAGUUGUUAUGCAGUGUAUGUAUCAGCAGGAUUAAUUUUCUUUAAACCUGAAUAGACUUUUGCGACAGAAUGUAGCAGUUUUCCUACAUUUUUUGCUUGUGAAUGCUCCAGAUGUUGAUAUCGGGCAGAGAUUGAACCAGAUUCAUGUGGGCAAGAAAGUCUUUGGAUAUCUUCAUUAUAUUUGUGCAAGCAUUAUUCCUCCGCCUUGAGUGGACUGUGGGCUGAGGGUGGCAGCCGAACAUAGGAGUAAGGGAGGCAGUUCCUGUGGAGUUCUUCAUGGGGGAUACACAUGGUGCUGUUUGGAAAGUGGCUUUGUUGGCUGAGAGAUGGCAUGGUACUUUACCCUAGUACAGUACAUUAUGAAGUAUACACCUGGUGCUGUAAUUUGUGCCACACACGUGCUGAGCUGUAUAACUUCCAGCAAGAUUACUAUUCAUCAAAGCUAAAAAGACUGUUUGGGAUGCAGGUUGCCGUUUUGACACAAUUCUCCAAUGGAAAUGCUACUACUUUUACUGACAUUUGGCAGAUAUAUUCCUCCAACCUGAGUGGAUGAUGGGCUGAGGUAUUCUUGGUGGACCAUUGAGAUGAAUUUCUGUCCAUCGACAAAGAUAUUCAUGACUUGUCUGUUGCGAUACAUGAAUGAAGUAGUAGUUUGUUGUGAUGUGUGACAUGUCUGGGAGCACCAAAAAUAUUUAUCCAACUUGAAUGGAUUCACAGUUGAAAAGUGCAGUUCUCAACAGUAAUGAGCGAACACAGCAAAACAUCACAGGAUGCAGAUUUCUCUGUAUUCUCGUAUCAAAUUUCCUCCUGAU